ACUAUUAAGUUGUUGUAAAAGUAAUUGCGGUUUUCAGCAUUAAGAGUAAUCACAAAAACUGUAAUUACUUUUGCACCAACCUAAUAU
ensembl:miRNA